UACAGACAGAUAGCGCCUGACUGAUUAAAGAGAUUUUUUCAGUGACGAGGACUAGGUUUAUCGAAGAUUCGGCGGGUGGCCUAGGGGUUGCACAAUCCAUAGAAAAGCACAAAAAUCAUUUUUAGCAAAUGAAACAAAAUCCUUUUCUCGUGCUUAA
rnacentral:ncRNA from 2 species